GACGAACGCUGGCGGCGUGCCUAAUACAUGCAAGUAGAACGCUGAAGAGCGGAGCUUGCUCUUCUUGGAUGAGUUGCGCACGGGUGAGUAACGCGUAGGUAACCUGCCUGGUAGCGGGGGAUAACUAGUGGAAACGAUAGCUAAUACCGCAUAAAAUUGAUUAGCGCAUGAUAGUUAAUUGAAAGAUGCAACUGCAUCACUACCAGGUGGACCUGCGUUGUAUUAGCUAGUUGGUGAGGUAACGGCUCACCAAGGCGGCGUUACAUCGCCGACCUGAGAGGGUGGUCGGCCGACCUGGGACUGCGACACGGCCCAUUCUCCCUCGGGAAGCAGCAGUAGUCAAUCGUCGGCAAUGGGCGGAGAACUGACCGGGCUCCGCGGGGUCAGGGCAGAAGGAGCUCGCUUCGUAAAGCACUGUUUUAGGGUAUUAACGCGUGUGAGCGUGGAACGUUCACUGCGUGACGGUAUCUGCCAAGAAAGGGCCGGCUAACUACGUG
rnacentral:rRNA from 1 species